rnacentral:rRNA from 1 species
AAUCUUCCGCAAUGGACGCAAGUCUGACGGAGCAACGCCGCGUGUACGACGAAGGCCUUCGGGUUGUAAAGUACUGUCAUUGGGGACGAAUGGCAAUAGUGUGAAUAAUGCUAUUGCAUGACGGUACCCUAUGAGGAAGCCCCGGCUAACUACGUGCCAGCAGCCGCGGUAAUACGUAGGGGGCAAGCGUUGUCCGGAAUCAUUGGGCGUAAAGGGCGCGUAGGCGGAUAUUUAAGUCUGAUGUGAAAACCUAGGGCUCAACCCUGGGAUUGCAUCGGAAACUGGGUACCUUGAGGACAGGAGAGGAAAGUGGAAUUCCACGUGUAGCGGUGAAAUGCGUAGAUAUGUGGAGGAACACCAGUGGCGAAGGCGACUUUCUGGACUGUAACUGACGCUGAUGCGCGAAAGCUAGGGGAGCAAGCAG